rnacentral:rRNA from 1 species
UGGGGAAUAUUGCACAAUGGGCGCAAGCCUGAUGCAGCCAUGCCGCGUGUGUGAAGAAGGCCUUCGGGUUGUAAAGCACUUUCAGCGGGGAGGAAGGCGUUAAGGUUAAUAACCUUGGCGAUUGACGUUACCCGCAGAAGAAGCACCGGCUAACUCCGUGCCAGCAGCCGCGGUAAUACGGAGGGUGCAAGCGUUAAUCGGAAUUACUGGGCGUAAAGCGCACGCAGGCGGUCUGUCAAGUCGGAUGUGAAAUCCCCGGGCUCAACCUGGGAACUGCAUUCGAAACUGGCAGGCUAGAGUCUUGUAGAGGGGGGUAGAAUUCCAGGUGUAGCGGUGAAAGGCGUAGAGAUCUGGGGGAAUACCGGUGGCGAAGGCGGCCCCCUGGACAGAGACUGACGCUCAGGUGCGAAAGCGUGGGGAGCAAACAGG